rnacentral:lncRNA from 10 species
CUUUGAUGGAGUAACACGUCAAAAUGGCUAAAGGGUACAAGCAACUAAUGUAAAUUAUUAGUGAAAUGCUACACAUAAAAGACAUUAAACAUUCAACAUUGUGGUUUGUAAACAGUAGGCAGGGAGUUAUAACAAAAAGCCCAUUUGUAGGCAAAUAUUUAGUUUUGACUUCUUCAAAGUUUUAUGAAGAUGAGAGACAAUCCUAAACCCCAGAGGAGGGAGCUUAUAAGAACGAAGUUGACAAUGAGCCACAUGGAAACAAAUUCAUGAAGAGGCCACAGACCUAGAAAGAGCUGGAAACAUUGACCAGGCAACAAAGAAGACCAAACCAGGAGAAUGAGGCCAAAGCCUUCCUAGUGCAUGAAAAUGACAAGGAUUUGCUGAUUAUUUAGCCUCAAAAACUGCACAGAAACAACCAAUUGCUGGGCCAUGGAUCCUGAAUCUGAUCAUCCAUGAAGAAGGUGUGAGUAGGCCUCAGGCACAUGGGCUCCAGAAGUGACAACUAAAUAGCAGGAUCCUGGGACGAAAACUUACAACAGAAAAUUACCUGUGAUGCCACUUUUCAUGAAAAACCAAUAGAAGUGAACGACUGAUUGUUGUGGACCAAGAAGUAUAGGGAACAUACAAGCAGCUCUUCAGCAUUAAGAAUGUGAUGGGAGAGAUUCAGGUAGAUUUGAACUGCCAUCAUCAAUCAAGACCAAGGAGAAGGCUGCUUUCCAGGAUGUACACAUGGCCUCUGUUUGCUGUUGCUGUUUUGCUUCUUUUAAGAGCUCAACAGAACCCUGUAAUAUACAUGAACAAGUUUCUGGAAGUUAAGAGAUUACCCCAUAACAUCUUCCCCUGCCCCCAGUACAAGAAGCAUAGAAGUCUCCAAUGAAACUCAACCCAAAGAGGUGUUCACCAAGACACAUAAUAAUCAAAACAAACAAAAAAAAAACAAAGAAAAAAAUCUGAGGACAGCAGGAAAUGAAAUACACAUCACAUACAAAAGAGUGUCAAUAUAACUAUCAGCAGAAACUCUGCAGGCCAGUUGACAAUGGAAUCAUAUAUUAAAAGAGCUCAAGGGGGAAAAAAACCCUGACAAACAAGAAUACUUUAUGCAGCAAAUCUGUAUUUCAGAAAUAAGGAAGAAAUAAAAAUGUUACCAGACAAAUAAAAGCUAAGGAAGAUCAUCACCACCAGACCUACCUUACAGAAAUAACUAAAGAAAAUUCUUUAAGCUGAAAAAAGGCUGCUAAUUAAUAACAUAAGACAUACAAAAGCAUGAAACUCAAAGAUGUAAGUCAUAUAGAGACACAUUCAUAAUACUUUAGGAUUGUAAUGAUGGCAUGUAAAGCAAUUUUAUUUCUAGCACAAGGAUUAAAAUAUAAAACUAUGAGUAUCAACUAUAGCUAAAAUAAAUUUUCAAGAGAUGCACAUUACAAAAUGAUGUAAAUUAUGACAUCAAAAACAUAAAAGGGAGCGAUAGUAAAAAUGUAGAGUUUGUUGCAUGCAAUCAAAAUUAAGUUACUAUCUGUUUUACACAGGCUGUUAUAAGUUCUGGGUAAGCCUCAUGGUGACCACAAAGCCAAAAUGUUUAGUAUAAGAACAAAACAAAAACAGAAAAAAUUCAAAGCAUACCACUACAAAAAACCAUCAAGCCACAGAGGAAGAUAGCAAGAGAGAAAGAAACAAAAUAUCUAUACAAUAACCAGAAAAUAAUGAACAGAAUGGCAGUAUUAAGUAGUUACCUAUCAAUAAUUACCUUGAAUGUAAAUGGAUUAAAUUUUCUAAUAAAAAGACAUAGACUGACUAAAUGAAUCAAAAAACAUGAUCCAACUAUUUGCUGCCUGUAAGAGACUCGCCUCACUUUUAGAGACAUACAUAGUCUGAAAGUGAAGGGAAAGAAAAAGAUAUUCCAUAUAAAUGGAAACCAAAAGAAAGCAGGCAUAGCUAUACUUUUAUCAGGCAAAAUAGACUUUAAGUUGAGAAAACUGUAAAUAGAGACAAAAAAGAACAUUAUCUAAUAAUAAAGGGGUCAAUUCAUCAAGAAGAUAUAACAAUGGUAAAUAUAUAUGCACCCAACAUCAGAGCACCUAAAUAUAUUAAACAAAUAUUAAAGAACAUGAAGGGAGAGAGAGAUAUAUAAUACUAGUAGGGUAUUUCAAUACUCCACUUUCCACAGUGAACAGACCAUCAAGACAGAAAAUUAAUAAGGAAACACUGGACUGACUUGAACAACACUUUAGACUAAAUAGACCUAACAGACACAUACAGAACAUUCUAUCCAACAGAAACAGAAUAUACACUCUUCUCAAGCAUACAUGGAACAUUUUCCGAGGUAGUUCAUAUGGCAUGUCACACGACAAGUCUUAAUAAAUUAAAUAAGAUUGAAUGUCAAGUGCUUUUCCAAUUACAAUGGUCUGAAACUAGAAAUCAGUAACAGGAGGAAUUUCAAAAAAAUUCACAUAUACAUGAAAAUUAAACAUAUUGCUGAAUAACCAAUGGUUCAAUAAAAAAAGGGAAUGUUAAAUUUUUUCUGGAGACAAAAGAAUAAAAACACAACAUGCUAAAAUUUAUGGAAUAACAACUCUGGCAAAAACAGUCCUAAGAGGAAAGUUUCUAGCAAUAAAAACUUACAUUAAAAAAGAAGAAAGAUUUCAAACAAUCAACUUAAUGUUAUUCCUCAAAGAAGUAGGAAAAAAGGAGAAACUAAGCCCAAAGUUAACAGAGGGAAGGAGACAAUAAAGAUCCAAGCAGAAUUAAUUAAACAUAGACUAGAUAAACAAUCCAAAAGAUCAAUAAACUAAGAGUUCGUUUUUUGAAAAUAUAAAAUCAGCAAACCAUUAGCUAAAAUAAGAAAAAAGAGAAAAGAUUAAAAUAAAUAAAGUCAAAAAUGAAAGAGGAGACUUUAUAAAUGAUACCAAAAAAAAUCAUGACACUACAAUGAACAAUCAUAUACCAACAAAGUGGAUAAUCUAGAAGAAAUGGACAAAUUUCUAGAAACAAAAUACCAGGGCUGAAUUGUGAAGAAAUGAAAAUUGGAACACACCACCAAUAAUGAGUAAGAAGAUUGAAUCAGUAAUGAAAAGUUUCCCAUCAAAGAAAAGCCCAAGACCUGAUGGUUUUAUUGCUAAAUUCUACCAAACUUUUAAAGAAGAUUAAUAUAACAUCAAUCCUUAAACUCUUCCAAAAAACUGAGAGCAAGAAAUACUUUCAAACUCCUUUUUGCAAGGCCAGCAUUUUCUGGAUAUUAAAGCCAGAUAGGGAUACCACAAGAAAAGAAAAUUGCUGGUCAAUAUCCUUAAUGAACAUAGGUGCAAAAAUUCUCAACAAAAUACUGACAAAUCAAAUUCAAGAGUGUAUUAAAAAGAUGGGAUUUACCUGUGAUAUGGAAUGGGUUUUCAACACACAUAAAUCAAUAAAUGUGCUAUAACACAUUAACAGAAUGAAGGACAAACCGCACAAUCAUCUGAUUAAAUGCAGACAAAGUAUUGACAAAGUUCAAUAUCCUUUUAAAAUAAACACACCAAAUUAGGGGUUGAAGGAAAAUACCUCAACACAAUAAAGGACCUAUGUGAGAAGGCCACAAGUAACAUACUCAACAGUGAAAAAUUGAAAGCCUUUCUUCUAAGAUUUGAAAUAAAGAUACCCACUCUUACGGUUUCUGCUUAACAUAGUAUUGGAUGUCCUUGUCAGAGCAAUUAGGCAAGAGAAAGAAAUAAAAAACAUCCAAAUAGAGAAGCAAAAGUAAAAUUGUCCUUGUUUGCUAAUGACAUGAUCUCAUAUAUAGAAAACCUUAAAGACUCUACCAAAAUGCUGUUAGAACUAGUAAAUGAAUUCCAUAAAGUUGCAUGACACAAAAUAAACAUACAAAAAUUAGUAGUAUUUCUAUACACUAUGAACUAUCUGAAAAAGAAAUGAAGAGAAAAAUUCCAUUUACAAUUGUUACAAUAAAUAGGAAUACAUUUAACCAAGGAGGUAAAAGACAUGUAUACUGAAAACUAUAAAACAUUGAUGAAAGGAAUGGAAAAAGACAAAAAUUAAUGGAUUUUGUUCAUAGAUUGGAAGAAUUAAUAUUGUUAAAAUGACUAUAUUGCACAAAGCAUUCUACAAAUUCAAUGUAAACCCUAUCAAUAUUCCAAUGACAGUUUUCACAGAAAUAGAAAAAAAAGUUCUGAAACUUAUAUGAAACAAACAAAAAAAAUCCCUGAAUAGUUAAGGCAAUCAUGAGCAAAAAGAACAAAGCUGGAGGUAUCUCACUAGCCGAUUUCAAACUGUACUACAAAGCUAUAAUAAUUAUAGUAGCAUGUUACUGGCAUUAAAAUAGACACAUCAACAAAUGUAACAUAGUAGAAAGCCCAGAAAUGAACCAACAUAUGUACAAUCAAUUGAUUUUCAACAUAGGUGCCAAGAAUACACAACGAGAAAAGAUAGUCUUGUCAAUAAAUGUGUUGGAAAAACUGGAUAUCCACAUGUAGAACAAUAAAAUUGGAUCCUUACAUCACACAGUGCACAAUAAUAAACUCACAAUGUGUUAAACACUGAAACAUAAGACUAGAAACUGUAAAACUGCUAUAAGAAAACCCCAGGAGAAAAACUACACAACAUUGGUCUGGACAAUAAUUUUUUUUUAUUUGACCCCAAAAGCACAGGCAACAAAAAUCAACAAACAGGAUUACUUCAAACUAAGGAGCUGGUACACAGGAAAAUAAAUGUAUUUUUGUAUAUGGUGUAAAAUAAAGACCCAAUUUCAUUCUUCUGCAUAUGGGUAUCCAGUUUUCCCAACAUCAGUUAUUGAAGAGACUAUCUUUUUCCUGUUGUGUAUUCUUUUUGUUGUGGGAGAAAUGGAACCCUUCCUCCUAUGAGCAUCUAUCUUCUUAUUUCCAAAGAGAGAGAAAAGUCCAUUCCUCAAACAAAAGCUAAGGUUUGAAGAAUAACUAUUACAAAGUAUCAAAGUACAUUACCAAAUUUUAUUUUGAAUGAUGCCCAAGACAUUGUAGUAAUGAACUCUGUUCGGUAUUUGGAAAACAAAUGAUAGAAGCUUAGCAGUACACAGGCAUACAAGUUAUUUCUGCACAGUGUUUGAAUUUCAGUUCCUCCAGUUACUAACUUUGUGAUCUUGCAUGGGCUAUUAACUUUCUGAGCCUUAGUAUCUUUUGCUGUAGUCUACCUCUCUCAUUGGUUUACUGGGGAAUUAAAUGAAGUCACCAUAAAGAAAGAGCCUUGGACAGUGCUUGGUAUAUAGUGGCAUAGAAUAUAAUUGCUCUUUCCUGAGAUGCUUCUAGAAUGAAAUUCUAGAAUGGAAGCUGUAGUCUUGGGUGUCAGGCAUAUAUUGGUUUAAUUUUAAUCUGGAUUUCAUGCCCCCUUAG